UCUCAUUUAAGAUAUAUUUUCAUCGUUUGCUUUGUUGUUCGUGUAUAAUCGCACUUUAUAUCACAGAACAUGUUUUAUUAUAAAAAUGUUAUAAAUGGAUUACCACAUGCUGUUAUCAUUCAGCAUAAUGUUCAUACACAGUUAUGUAUAAUCCGCUAUGAGUUGGUAAACCGGUUGUGUAAGUGUAAACAGAAUUCCAACAUCUUGUAUUUUUUUUACGAAAGUGGCAUUAUAGCAAGCAUAUAGAGGCCAUGAAAAUAAAAUUUUAUACUGCAGGAUGGGUUUCCACAAUUGUUCCAAAUGUGCCACCUGAUCCUGCACCGCAAUAGGAAAAUCUGAGGAAAAAUAUUGAUACAAUGGUUUCUACGUUUUUACGCUGCUGUUUAGUUACUAAUGAAGACAUUUGGGCGUCCGGGAGAGUCAUAGGGACGGAAACCUUCGCAAUAGCUCGUAAAACCUUCGCAAGUGUAUGGAUUUUGCAAGAAUGGCUCAGCCUUGUGUUUCUACUUCGGUUUCACCACGCGCUCCUUCAGCUCAGAUACAUGUCUUCCUCCAAUAAUCAUUCGAGGCAUACAACCAACCCAAAGAAACAAACUCCCGGAAAAGGAACUUCAGAUCACCGGAUAUAUUCCCGAUCGCGUUGAUUAAGGUGGACAUUACAUUUCGAUUGGCGUUGAACGCCAAUACUCCCGAGGAGAAAAAUACACAGAGGAAAAGAUGAAGGGAUGAACAUUGUAGAUGAGUCGAUGUCCAGUGAAAGGUAUAUUCAACAAAAGUCUGUCCGCAAAAGAAGCGCAGGAUACCGCGAGGGAUACCGUACAUGGGUGGAACACCUCUGGUUAAACGUGAGCUGGAGCAUCGCAUCUUGGUGACCAACAUUCUGCGUGAUCUCUGCCUGGCCAAGUACGUUUGCAUCUUCAACGAUAAAGAAAACCACUUCGUGGUGCUCAUCACGCUUCCUAAAAAGAACCUGCAUGACAUCGGCAUUACGUGUGAAUCAUGAAAAAAUUAUAUUUAUCUAAUAUUUAUUC